GUAAGCAUUUCACUGUAAGGUCUACACCGGUUGUUUUCUGCGCAUGUGACAAAUACAAUUUUAUUUGAUAAGUCAAAGUAGAGGGAUGGAGGAAUUCCAGCUAGAUGGGAAGACACUCACCCGCAUUGCCAUGAUGACCCAUGACCAUUACCAAGGGAAAUUGGGAUAUCAACUCAGACCUGGGCUGAACAAUGCAGGAUUGUCAGUAUGUUUGUGUUUCUCCCUGAUGAGGUCACUGCCAUCUCCUCCACGGUGGAGGAGAGCCUGACGGCCGAGUUUGUUCAGCACCUCUCCAAGACACUUAAGCUUCUGAAGGUGUCCCUCAAACUGCCUUCCUAGAACUACUCCACCGACCUGAUGCCUCUGCUCACUGGCCAUGUGACAUGAUGAGGUUGGACCAAGGUGCAGAGAAGAGACCAGAUGAGGAAUCAGCAGUUAAGGAUAAACAUAAUACUUUAUUGAGAAAGGUAGCCACAGGAUCACAGCACACUUGAAAAAAACAACAAACACUAAUUCUCAACCUCUCUCAGGCAUCAACAACACACACACACACACACACACACACACACACACACACACACACACACACACACACACACACACACACACACACACACACACACACACACACACACACACACACACACACACACACACACACAUAGCACAUAAUUCAAGCUUCUGCCAAAGAUAACAGAAAACACACCUCUUUUAACAGGGAAAUCAUAUUGAGUAAAUCGGACACACCUGAGUGUAGUUGAUGUCUCUAGGACGGUCUCUGCCGCCCUCUGGCGACAGGUGAAACCAUGACAGACCAGGGUCUAUCUUGAUUGGUUACAGGACACAGACCUGAUGAAGAUCACCAUUCAGGCAGCAAAGCUCAGCAGCCUUAAUCACAAGGCACACACAUACUCACAAACACAUAAAUAAACACACACACACAUUCCAACAAGCACUUAAGAGGAUCCAAAAAGGAAACAGACAAUAAAUAUCAUAUGUAUUACUAUUAUUAAUCAUAUCAAAUAAAUCUAAUGAAUUUAAAAGAGUAAUACUCUCUCUCUUCUUAUCUAUUUUCCUGCUUCCUUAUCUUCUAUGUGGUGUUGCAAAGACCUUUAGUAGUAAAGGGAAUUUCAAGUCUUUUCAGUCUGCAUUUUCAGACUCCGAAGAGCUCAGGUGGAGGGGAGCUCAGACUGACAUUAAAAAGGUACUACAUUUUUACAGUUAAAUUACUUCUUAUAAAACCCAUAUUAAAUGGUGUGUGGGGGGAAUCUCUGCCUGUGGCCUCCAAAUCACUAAGUCCGCCCUUGCAUAGACAUUAGAACAUUAUCAACAUCCCAUU